rnacentral:rRNA from 1 species
AGAGAGAAGCGACUGUUUACUAAAAACACAGGUCCGUGCGAAGUCGUAAGACGAUGUAUACGGACUGACGCCUGCCCGGUGCUGGAAGGUUAAGAGGACCGGUUAAUCACUUCGGUGGUGAAGCUGAGAAUUUAAGCCCCAGUAAACGGCGGUGGUAACUAUAACCAUCCUAAGGUAGCGAAAUUCCUUGUCGGGUAAGUUCCGACCUGCACGAAUGGCGUAAC